rnacentral:rRNA from 1 species
UAGGGAAUCUUCGGCAAUGGGGGGAACCCUGACCGAGCAACGCCGCGUGAGUGAAGAAGGUUUUCGGAUCGUAAAGCUCUGUUGUUAAGGAAGAACGAGUGUGAGAAUGGAAAGUUCAUACUGUGACGGUACUUAACCAGAAAGGGACGGCUAACUACGUGCCAGCAGCCGCGGUAAUACGUAGGUCCCGAGCGUUGUCCGGAUUUAUUGGGCGUAAAGCGAGCGCAGGCGGUCAAUUAAGUCUGAUGUGAAAGCCCCCGGCUCAACCGGGGAGGGUCAUUGGAAACUGGUUGACUUGAGUGCAGAAGAGGGGAGUGGAAUUCCAUGUGUAACGGUGAAAUGCGUAGAUAUAUGGAGGAACACCAGUGGCGAAGGCGACUCUCUGGUCUGUAACUGACGCUGAGGCUCGAAAGCGUGGGUAGCAAACAGG